rnacentral:rRNA from 1 species
GAUGAACGCUGGCGGCGUGCUUAACACAUGCAAGUCGAACGGAAAGGCCCUGCUCUUGUUGUUUGCUCGAGUGGCGCACGCGUGAGUAACACACGUGUAUCAUGUCCCUGACUUACGGGGAACAUCAGGAAAAUGCGGCUCAUACACCAUAUGAUAUCCUGCUCCGCGGUGUGGGAAGGUAAAAUACGGCGGUGGUGGAUGUAAUCGCGGCGUAUCAGCUGGUUGGUGGGGUAGUGGCUUACCAAGGUUUCGACGGGUAGCCGGCCUGAGAGGGUGACCGGCGACAGUGGGACCGAGAGGAGGCCCAGACUGCUACGGGAGGCAGCAGGGGGGAAUAUUGAACAAGGGGCGGAAGCCUGAUGCAGAAACGCCGCGGGCGGUAUGACGGCCUUCGUGGUGUAAACCGCUUGCGCCUGUGACGAAGCGUGAGUGACGGUAACGGGUAAAGAAGCACCGGCUAAAUACGUG